rnacentral:rRNA from 1 species
CGGACGGGUGAGUAAUGUCUGGGAAACUGCCCGAUGGAGGGGGAUAACUACUGGAAACGGUAGCUAAUACCGCAUAACGUCGCAAGACCAAAGAGGGGGACCUUAGGGCCUCUUGCCAUCGGAUGUGCCCAGAUGGGACUAGCUAGUAGGUGGGGUAACGGCUCACCUAGGCGACGAUCCCUAGCUGGUCUGAGAGGAUGACCAGCCACACUGGAACUGAGACACGGUCCAG